UACGUAGGGUGCAAGCGUUGUCCGGAAUUAUUGGGCGUAAAGAGCUUGUAGGCGGUUUGUUGCGUCGGGAGUGAAAACUCAGGGCUUAACCCUGAGCCUGCUUCCGAUACGGGCAGACUAGAGGUAUGCAGGGGAGAACGGAAUUCCUGGUGUAGCGGUGAAAUGCGCAGAUAUCAGGAGGAACACCGGUGGCGAAGGCGGUUCUCUGGGCAUUACCUGACGCUGAGGAGCGAAAGUGUGGGGAGCGAACAGG
rnacentral:rRNA from 1 species